GAUAAACGCUGGCGGCGCACAUAAGACAUGCAAGUCGAACGAACUUAACCAUUAGUUUACUAUUGGAGCGGUUAGUGGCGGACUGGUGAGUAACACGUAAGCAACCUGCCUAUCAGAGGGGAACAACAGUUAGAAAUGACUGCUAAUACCGCAUAUGCCUUAGAAUCACAUGGUUCAAAAGGGAAAGGAGCAAUCCGCUGAUAGAUGGGCUUGCGUCUGAUUAGCUAGUUGGUGGGGUAACGGCCUACCAAGGCGACGAUCAGUAGCCGAACUGAGAGGUUGAACGGCCACAUUGGGACUGAGAUACGGCCCAG
rnacentral:rRNA from 1 species